rnacentral:rRNA from 1 species
UACGAGGGGGGCGAGCGUUGUUCGGAAUUAUUGGGCGUAAAGGGUGCGUAGGCGGUUCGGUAAGUUUCGUGUGAAAUCUUCGGGCUCAACUCGAAGUCUGCACGAGAUACUGCCGGGCUUGAGUGUGGGAGAGGUGAGUGGAAUUUCCGGUGUAGCGGUGAAAUGCGUAGAUAUCGGAAGGAACACCAGUGGCGAAGGCGGCCUUCUGGACCAAUACUGACGCUCAUGCACGAAAGCGUGGGGAGCAAACAGG